GCGUGGAGACAGGUGGUGCAUGGCUGUCGUCAGCUCGUGUCGUGAGAUGUUGGGUCAAGUCCCGCAACGAGCGCAACCCUUGCCCCUUGUUGCCAUCAGGUCAUGCUGGGCACUCUAGGGGAACUGCCCCGGUUAACGGGGAGGAAGGCGGGGAUGACGCCAAGUCAUCAUGCCCCUUACGCCCUGGGCUACACACGUGCUACAAUGGCCGGUACAAAGGGAUGCAAGACCGCGAGGUGGAGCUAAACCCAAAAAGCCGGUCUAAGUUCAGAUUGGAGUCUGCAACUCGACUCCAUGAAGGAGGAAUCGCUAGUAAUCGCGUAUCAGCACGACGCGGUGAAUACGUUCCCGGGCCUUGUACACACCGCCCGUCACACCACGAAAGUCGGCUGUACUCGAAGUCGCUGAG
rnacentral:rRNA from 1 species